AGUUAUGGCAGUUGCGCGUGGGACACCUUCUGGUGUGCCGGCUUUUUAACCGCUAAUGCUGUUUUCUCCGGUCGAUCAACCCACGUGCAACUACCACCCUC
rnacentral:antisense_RNA from 3 species